GGUAAGGCCCUUCGGGGUACACGAGCGGCGAACGGGUGAGUAACACGUGGGUGAUCUGCCUCGCACUCUGGGAUAAGCCUGGGAAACUGGGUCUAAUACCGGAUAUGACCUUACAUCGCAUGGUGUUUGGUGGAAAGAUUUAUCGGUGCGAGAUGGGCCCGCGGCCUAUCAGCUUGUUGGUGGGGUAAUGGCCUACCAAGGCGACGACGGGUAGCCGGCCUGAGAGGGCGACCGGCCACACUGGGACUGAGACACGGCCCAGACUCCUACGGGAGGCAGCAGUGGGGAAUAUUGCACAAUGGGCGAAAGCCUGAUGCAGCGACGCCGCGUGAGGGAUGACGGCCUUCGGGUUGUAAACCUCUUUCGACAGGGACGAAGCGCAAGUGACGGUACCUGUAGAAGAAGCACCGGCCAACUACGUGCCAGCAGCCGCGGUAAUACGUAGGGUGCGAGCGUUGUCCGGAAUUACUGGGCGUAAAGAGCUUGUAGGCGGCUUGUCGCGUCGAUCGUGAAAACUUGGGGCUCAACCCCAAGCUUGCGGUCGAUACGGGCAGGCUUGAGUACUUCAGGGGAGACUGGAAUUCCUGGUGUAGCGGUGAAAUGCGCAGAUAUUCAGGAGGAACACCGGUGGCGAAGGCGGGUCUCUGGGAAGUAACUGACGCUGAGAAGCGAAAGCGUGGGUAGCGAACAGGAUUAGAUACCCUGGUAGUCCACGCCGUAAACGGUGGGUACUAGGUGUGGGUUUCCUUCCACGGGAUCCGUGCCGUAGCUAACGCAUUAAGUACCCCGCCUGGGGAGUACGGCCGCAAGGCUAAAACUCAAAGGAAUUGACGGGGGCCCGCACAAGCGGCGGAGCAUGUGGAUUAAUUCGAUGCAACGCGAAGAACCUUACCUGGGUUUGACAUACACCGGAAACCUGCAGAGAUGUAGGCCCCCUUGUGGUCGGUGUACAGGUGGUGCAUGGCUGUCGUCAGCUCGUGUCGUGAGAUGUUGGGUUAAGUCCCGCAACGAGCGCAACCCUUAUCUUAUGUUGCCAGCGCGUAAUGGCGGGGACUCGUGAGAGACUGCCGGGGUCAACUCGGAGGAAGGUGGGGACGACGUCAAGUCAUCAUGCCCCUUAUGUCCAGGGCUUCACACAUGCUACAAUGGCCGGUACAGAGGGCUGCGAUACCGUGAGGUGGAGCGAAUCCCUUAAAGCCGGUCUCAGUUCGGAUCGGGGUCUGCAACUCGACCCCGUGAAGUUGGAGUCGCUAGUAAUCGCAGAUCAGCAACGCUGCGGUGAAUACGUUCCCGGGCCUUGUACACACCGCCCGUCACGUCAUGAAAGUCGGUAACACCCGAAGCCGGUGGCCUAACCCCUUGUGGGA
rnacentral:rRNA from 1 species